rnacentral:rRNA from 1 species
UACGUAGGGGGGCAAGCGUUGUCCGGAUUUAUUGGGCGUAAAGGGCGCGUAGGCGGUUUGUUAAGUCGGUCGUGAAAGCCCGGGGCUCAACCCCGGAGGGUCGACCGAUACUGGCAGACUAGAGUACAGAAGAGGUAACUGGAAUUCCCGGUGUAGCGGUGAAAUGCGCAGAUAUCAGGGAGGAACACCGGUGGCGAAGGCGGGUCUCUGGGCCGUAACUGACGCUGGAGGAAGCGAAAGCCGUGGGGAGCGAACAGG